rnacentral:tRNA from 1 species
GGAGGGUUCGCAUAGUGGUCUAGUGCGCUCGCUUGGAAAGCGAGUAUGGGGUCAAACCCAUCAUGAGUUCAAAUCUCAUACCCUCCGCCA